UACGUAGGGGGCAAGCGUUGUUCGGAAUUACUGGGCGUAAAGGGCUCGUAGGCGGCCAACUAAGUCAGACGUGAAAUCCCUCGGCUUAACCGGGGAACUGCGUCUGAUACUGGAUGGCUUGAGUGUGGGAGAGGGAUGCGGAAUUCCAGGUGUAGCGGUGAAAUGCGUAGAUAUCUGGAGGAACACCGGUGGCGAAGGCGGCAUCCUGGACCACGACUGACGCUGAGUGAGCGAAAGCCAGGGGAGCAACGGG
rnacentral:rRNA from 1 species